rnacentral:rRNA from 1 species
GACGAACGCUGGCGGCGUGCCUAAUACAUGCAAGUCGAGCGAAGCGGGGACGGGUGAGUAACACGUAAGGAACCUCCGUUAAGCGGGGGACAACAUCCGGAAACGGGUGCUUAACCGCAUACUUCUCGAUGGCCUCCGUGGAUUAGCUUGUUGGUGGGUUAACGGCCUACCAGGCAAUGAUGCAUAGCCGACCGAGAGGGUGAUCGGCCACAUUGGGACUGAGACACGGCCCAAACUCCUACGGGAGGCAGCAGUAGGGAAUCUUCCGCAAUGGGCGCAAGCCUGACGGAGCAACGCCGCGUGAGUGAAGAAGGUUUUCGGAUCGUAAAGCUCUGUUGUAAGAGAAGCGGUAUCUUACCAGAAAGCCACGGCUAACUACGUGCCAGCAGCCGCGGUAAUUC